UACGAAGGUCCCAAGCGUUAUCCGGAUUUAUUGGGUUUAAAGGGUGCGUAGGCGGAUUAUUAAGUCAGUGGUGAAAGCCCCAGGCCUAACCUGGGAACUGCCAUUGAUACUGAUGAUCUUGAGUACAUUUGAGGAGGGCGGAAUGUGUCAUGUAGCGGUGAAAUGCUUAGAUAUGACACAGAACACCGAUUGCGUAGGCAGCUCUCUAAACUGUAACUGACGCUGAGGCACGAAAGCGUGGGGAGCAAACAGG
rnacentral:rRNA from 1 species